rnacentral:rRNA from 1 species
AUACGAAGGGUGCAAGCGUUACUCGGAAUUACUGGGCGUAAAGCGCGCGUAGGCGGUUGUUUAAGUCUGUCGUGAAAGCCCUGGGCUCAACCUGGGAAUGGCGAUGGAAACUGGGCGACUAGAGUGUGGCAGAGGGUAGUGGAAUUCCUGGUGUAGCAGUGAAAUGCGUAGAGAUCAGGAGGAACAUCCGUGGCGAAGGCGACUGCCUGGGCCAACACUGACACUGAGGCACGAAAGCGUGGGGAGCAAACAGGAUUAGAUACCCUGGUAGUCCACGCCCUAAACGAUGCGAACUGGAUGUUGGGUGCAAUUUGGCACGCAGUAUCGAAGCUAACGCGUUAAGUUCGCCGCCUGGGGAGUACGGUCGCAAGACUGAAACUCAAAUGAAUUGGCGGGG